rnacentral:lncRNA from 1 species
GUCGUUUAUAUUGAGGUGGUAUAAGUGAUGGGUUUUGGUCAUAAGUCAUCCUAUGUGCUCAUACAAACCCUAAUGCUUGGAUCUAGGUUUCUCUAUUGUACAUGCUUUGAAUCUAAGACUAUAAACCCUAAUUCUAGCAUAUGGAAAUCAAUAUUAACAUAUAAUUAGGUUUAAGAUAUUACCUUGAUUGUUAUGUAGCAAUAACAAUCCCAAUUCCUCCUUGAAUUGACUUUGGAAGGCUUAGAGUCACAAGUGUCACUCCUCUAAUGGUUCACAAACACCAUAAGCAAGAGGAUGAAGAGGAGAGAGGAUGGAGGCUGCCCAAAACGUGUUCUAACCCUAGAAAAGAAGUUCCCCACGUUUUUGAGCCUUAAGGGUUCUAUAUAUAGUGAGGCUAUUAGGGUUAUCUAACAAGGAAACCCUAAUUUGGAUGCUUAAGCCCUAAGCAACCCAUGGAUCCCUUUCCUUAAGGCCUUGGACGAUUUCUUAUGGGCUUCCCCAUAGAAUUCGUCCACUCCUUAAUAUAAGGCAAUCCAUGGCCCAAAUUGCAAUUAUCUUAUAAUUACAAUUCCAGUCCCUUAAGUUUAAUUAAUCUCUUUUAGUCACAAAACUAAUUACCAAUUAAUUCUUGACUAAUAUUAAUUAAACAAUAUGAUUUCUCCUUUAAUAUAUUAUUCUCAUAAUAUAUUAAUAAAUCAUAUUUAAUCCUUUCUCUCCAUAAUUCAUCCUAUCAAGUUGCUUUGGUGAAGGCAACCCAAAAGGACCAUGCACCAUCGGGUCAAGUACAUACCAAAAUAGUUAUGGACUUAGACACUAAUCCAACAGUCUCCCACUUGGAUAAGUCUAAUAACUAUUAUGCGUAUGACUUCAGAUCCUGAUCUGCAAUCGUAGCUUUCCAAAGCCGCUGUCAACUCUGAUCCUAUCAGAUACGCGUGUCCUUAGAUAAGGGAUCAUAUAUUCCUCCAUUCUAGAUAUCAUAUGAGAUAUGAUUUCAAAUCAUUCUCUUUGUACUAUAUCUCGAUUUCCGAUUUAUGACGACUGACUAAUUGAACAAAUCAAAUUAGCCCUAGCCCGGCCGAGCAUUUACGUUUGUCAUCACUAAAUCAUCGAGGGGCCCAAAGAUAUCGCUUUUAUCCUACUUUGGAUAAAAGGAACGGAUAAACUUUGAUACAAUGCUUGCUUGCACUCACUCACCAAAUCACACACAACAAUAUGUUUUAUAACACCAAGUUACUAGUGCGUUUACAUAUUAUCAAUGUGCAACCGAUUUGCAAGAUACAACUCACACAUCUCGGUUUCAAGAAUAUAAGAUGUUAUCGUCUCACCAAUCACUCGUGAUACAAUUCAUGGAGUGAUCCAAGUGAGCGUGGGUUUAAUCCAAUGCUCAAAUCAUAUUCAUAAGCACUCAUGAACGUUGCAGCAAACAUUUGCUUAUGUCUAAUACCUUUUUAGACAAUCCACACACCAAUUCACGACAGUCUUCAUUCAUAUCUACUUCCAACAUAUGAACGACUGUGGCCCGUUCGAAUAAUUCGAUUAUUCUUAAUAAACUCAAUUAUUCUGGAAGUCAAAACAUGCAAAUGUGAAACACAAGAAUAAUACUAAUCCCAUAUGGCCUCAAACCUUUGAGUAUAAAUAAAACACCUUUUAUUUAUCACCAUAUCGAUUACUCAUUAUUUGUCGUUUCGGGUAAUCAACUUCUUAAUUGAAUUAUUACACUUGUCCCAUGCUCCUAGCAUGCACAUACUGUUUACUCAUGGUUCUUACUUUCUGAAAUAGAUCAAAUUGAACACAUUUCCAAUCAUUCUCAUUUCACAACUCCAAAUCCUUUUUCAUAAGUGUAAGAAUAUCAAAUUCUUGCUACUUAUAGAAUAUGCUAGAUUCUAACAUUUUAUGCAAUGAUCCUUUCGUAAUGUCACUGCACCAAAGUCACAAAGACUAUUGCCAAUGAUAUUACAAAGUCCUCUAUCGGAGAUUGUUACAAGACAAUUCCUUAGAUAUGAUGUCUCUCACUCAAAGUACAUUCCUUUGAACAUCCUUUUGAAUAAAAGUUUCUAAUCUAUACAUAGAUUUUUCAAUAUUCAAUUCCCAAUAUGGACACGCUUCCAUAUUUUCCAUAUGACAACUCAUUCUUAAUAGAAUCUUAUCUAUUCGUAAUGAUGUCGAUAUGGUCCAUCCAAUAUGGAAACAUUUCCAUAAUUUCCAUAUGACAACUCAUUCUUAAUAGAAUCUUUUCUAUUCAUAAUAAUGUCGAUAUGGUCCAUCCAAUACCAUGCUUCCAACUACUCACAAGCGACCAAUCCUCGUCGAACUUUGGAUUGUCCUUUGAUAGUUGUUUAAUUAUUUUAGUCAAAACCAAUUCUAGUCCCUUUUCCCUCUAAAUGCGCUCGACAUUUGGAAAAUUUUAGAAUGGUCAAACAUUAAAGCAUUUGCAAUCGAUCCUAUACCCGAAGCGUAUGGGACACGACGCAUAAUGUUUUAUUUGCUAUGUUCUCAAAAUUCGAAUUGUGAAGAGGGAUGCCGUAAUCAUAAUCGAAAUUUUAAGAACACACUAUGUACCUUUGACUAAAUUUAUUAACAUUUCUCAACCUAAUCCUUUAGAUUUGAAAUGAAGCAUAAUAUUCUCUCCCUUAAUUAUAGCAAAACAACUUUACAACCCUUACGACUUUGCAAGGUAUAACUCUUGUUUUCUAUAAUUAAUAUUGCCAACUUGCAAUACGUGCCUUAAUAAUCAUACAAUCAUAACAUUUAUGCUCCCACUAUCAUGAUGAUUAUUAUAAAACAUAACACUUAUGCUCCCACUAGCUUCGACAUGUAUUCAUAAACAUCUUAACUUUCAGAAAAACAAUACUUAUUGAAUUUCUUAAGUUCAUGUUUCUAAUACUUAGUGCUUUGAUAAUCUUUUAUCAAGGCUUCUUGAACUUAUACACCUUUGCCUUCGAUAGUUCAUAUGUGUGUCUAAACAAUUAAGACUAAUUGCCAAACCUCACAAUUCAAAUUAUGGAAAGGGAUACCGUAACCAUAAUCGAAUUCGAGAAUGCAAUUUUACAAUCACUAUCUUCUUAAAAUCUUUCUUAGUGAAAGCAUUUCCUCACAAUCAUUUUCAUGAAGGAGGAAAUCUUAUGACACUUAGAUUUAAACGGUGUAUGUGUUCCUAUCCAUGUGAAUUUGUUAAAACCAAAGUUUACGACAAAUUCAAACUCAUAUGGACCGAACUUUCUUAAUCUUGAUUUCUUGCCUUAUGGUAGCACAGCUGCCCACCAUGUCUUCCAAGUAGUUAAGCAGCUCACCCUUUCCUAUCAAUGUACCUUUCAUUGAUUAAGGUGCUUUGCCUUUUAUGCGUUCAAAAUGAGAACUCAUAGAACUCACAUGCAUAAUUAACUCGAUUGGAUUGGCACAGAAUCAAAAUAAUGUCAACACGAUAGGUUGUAAACCUCAACUCGUGUGCUAGUGAUGAUCGAUAAGGUUUUUUUUGAUUUGUUCUUGAAACCUUUCAAGACCAUUAAGACUCCCACUGACUCCUUGACAUAUAAGAUUCUCUUGUCAAUAAACAUUUCUUGACAAACAAAUAUUCAAGAGUUAGUGUAGUUUUUAUCAAAACACUUCAUAAAUUGGUCCUAGUUGGUCUUUGUCUUAUCCAAGACAUCACAACUUUCCACAUUUGAUGAAUGUUAUAAACCUUCUUAAUACUUUUCACUCAAUGUCACAAUCUUAACUCUAAGACUUGUUUUGGAACGAAGUAUGAUUGACUUCUUGAUUUAACCAUUUCUUCAAUUCUUGAUUCCUCUUCUUAGACAUACAAUUGUACUAAGACUCACUUAGAGGAUCAAUUGAGAUAUGGUUCUUAAUCAUUAAGACCUAUCAUAAAGCAUAAAAGGUACUCUCCCUUCUUCUUAGAAUGGAGAAACUUUUAUCUUUCUGCCUACUUGAUUCUUCUUAUUCGUUCUGCUAUUGAUUUAAACUUUUUCAAUCAAUUCAGAAUUACACUUAAUCUUGUAAGUAUAAUCAUAUUUACUAAACCUUUAGUAAAUCAUGACGAAUAUCUUUGUUACUCUUAUGGUGGACUUGAUCAACACGCAACUUUGUGUACUCGAUCUCCUAGUCCUUCACUUGACACUUUGUCAAUGAAUUAGUCUAAUUUCCAAAUAUGAAAUUUCUCAUUCAUCGUGCAACCAAGUUGCAUGAUUCCAAGUUUCUGUCCAAUUGAAACUUGGGCGAUGAGAAACUCUCCCUAUUUGGUAAAUUCUCGACUUUCCAUAAAUAACAUAAUAAGAACCAAAUCCAUUAUUGCUAAUAAUAGAAACAUUCAAACAUCAAUUUUUCAUAUACGCCAUUGCAAGGAUAAAUAAAUAAUAUAAAAUCAAAAUUUAUUUUAUUGCGGAAAAAAUUUGUCCUUACAAUGCAAUUCAUUGAAAAACUAUGCUAAUACAUCUUUCUUAGCAAUCUAAUUCUAACUCUAAGUAGUAGCUCAAGAAUCUAAUCUUCGAGAAAUGCGAUCGAAAUCCAUUCCUUCACGGUUAGAUUCUGCUCACUUCUUCCCUUAAGCUUCCUUUCUUUUCUUCGAUCCUACAAAACAUCAAUUGUAAUCUUAUCACAUUAUGUAUUAAGAAUCUAGAAUAGAAGCUUAAAAGAGUUAGUUAAUGGAUUUUACCUAUAUUAGAGCCAUACGUUUCGACUCUCCCAUCUCUUAGAUCUCUUAGGUAAAUGGGGCAGCUUCGUCUCCAAUGCCUCUUCUCUUGGCAAUAAAAGCAAAUUGACUCUUUUGGAACAUGACAUGGAACUACUUCAGACAUUGCCUUUCUCUUAUGAUCAAACUUUUCGAUCAUAGCAUGUCUUUCGUUGCCAUUGUCUAUAUCCAUAGAGGUCUUGAAGGCAGAUUCACCAAUCAACUUUGCUUUUCUAUUGCGCCAAACCAUUGCUGAUUCAGCAGCAAUAAGCAUAUAGGUGAGAUCUAUAAGGGUCACGUCGUGGUUCAUCAUAUAGUACUCUCUUACGAACUCACUAUAUGAGUUAGGAAGUGACUGAAGAACCCAAUCAACAGCCAUUUCCUCACAGACAACGGAUCCCAACAUUCUUAACCUAUCAAUGUGUGACUUCAUCCCUAGGACGUGUGCACACACCGACUUUCCUUCUUUAUGUUUACUUGCCAAAAGGGCUUGAGUGAUCUUGAACUUUUCAAGCCUUUGAACUUGUGGGUUAGGGAGAAUAAUUGGAGGAGGAGGAGGAAGUGAAGCAUGAUUUCUUGUUCCUCGAUCGAAUCGUGGAAUAUCAUCUUCAUGUGGAAUGCUUGUUCCACGGGAUUUGGGAAGACCAUAGUUGUCGAACUUUGACAUCUACAAAACGAGAGAAAUACGAAUUCAAGUUAGUUGAUUGAUUGAGUCCUUAGUGACCCAAAUGAGAUACUAAGGCUAGGACCCAACACAAUAUUCUACAACUCGGGAGAGGGAUGCCGUAACCCUAAUUGCAGAACAUUUGAAGGUAAGUGAAUGACGAUUCACUAAUUUCCACCAUGAAAAACGAAAAAGAAAUUUAAGUUUUAAAUCUAUGAAAACUCCUAGAUCCUUUGAGAUUCAUUGAACUUUCAAUGGCAUGUUUAAAUCUCGAUAUGCCCCUCUUGUUUGUGACUGGGAUGCCGAGGAUCACAAAGCGGGUGUGAAUAACCAUGCAAACUUACAUGGUGCCCUCACAUGUUACAGUCACCUAUUCGAUGUGCCGGUAAACCACACACGCUCCACCGAACUAUGACAAACAUUGAGUCACCCUUUGCUACCUUUGCUUAGAACCAUUUAGUGUGUCGGUUAACCACACACGCUCCUCUAACGUCUUAGCAAGGGCACAAAGUGUAAUUUUAUGGAAUUACAUCAAUUCACUUUUGCCUAAGUAACUAAGAUUGGGAAUUUUAUGAAAACAUUUAGUUACUUUUAUACUUCAUUAUACUUAUAAUGGAAGGUUUCGUCCUAUCCUACCCGUUCGGCUAACGACCCUCCACUAGUCAAGAGUGCGGUGGGUAAGAGUGGAUACCCAUUCAAUCGCCAUUUUAUAGGCAAUUUCCUUAAACACCCCUUAUAGACCAGCUUCGUGAAUGAGGCCUACUAACGGUAAGACUGACUUUUACUCAUACAUAUAUAUAAUGUUAGACUUUUAAUGUUAUAUAUAGUAUAGGGUGUAUUUUAUACUUUCAAAAUACUAGGUGGUCUAAUUUAACAAUUAUACUUUUAAUUCAAUUAAAUUGUAAACCUAAACUUUUAUGGAUUUAUUAAACCUCUUUUAAUUAUACACCUUAAUUAAUUAAUAAAACCAUAAGGGUGUGAUUUGAACUUUUUCAAAACUAUACUAGAGUUUUAGAAUUUAACAUUCCUAAUUAAACUUUUAAUCAACUUUUAAAUUCCAAAACUUGAGGGCAAGUUUUGAAACAUUUCAACACAUUAGGGUUUCAACUAUUUAAAUUUCAAAACUACAAAACUAUUGGGUUCAAAUUUAAACUAUAAAACCUAAAGGGAAAAAUAUGAAACUUUUCAUAACAACAAGGAUCAAAUAACAAAUAAUCUAAAUUAACAUUUAAUCACAUAAUUAUCCAUAUUUGAUUUAUUUAAUGAUUUCUUGCAAAACAAUUUAUCAAUUUACUCAAAAUAAUUAAUCAAUUAUCUUAUAAGGAAACAAUUAUCUUAUUAAUUGAUAAAUAUCUUCAAUUAGAUCAAAAUUAUAGUCAAAUAUAUCAUAUAAUCGGAUUAAUAUUUAUCUAACAUGAUAAGGUAACUAUCCUAAUACAAAAACAACAAGAAAUCCCGAGAUAAGCUCUAUCUAACGAGUUGACUCGUUGAGUCAAGCCUAGACUCGUCGAGUCACCUUGGACUCGGCGAGUUCAGUCAUGGACUCGGCGAGUCCAGCCUCCAAAACACCAAAAAUCGAAUUUUUUUUAGAUAUACAAUGCAUCAAUACAAUUGAAAACAAGCUAGGCUCUGAUACCACUAAUGGGUUUUGGUCAUAAGUCAUCCUAUGUGCUUAUACAAACCCUAAUGUUUGGAUCUAGGUUUCUCUAUUAUACAUGCUUUGAAUCUAAGACUAUAAACCCUAAUUCUAGCAUAUGGAAAUCAAUAUUAACAUAUAAUUAGGUUUAAGAUAUUACCUUGAUUGUUAUGUAGCAAUA